AAGUCGUAACAAGGUUUCCGUAGGUGAACCUGCGGAAGGAUCAUUCAUAAUAAGUGUUUAUACUGCACUUUUUAAACAAGUAUUCACCUUGUGUGCAAUGUUUGGCUCUUUGAAGAAAGAAGGGGAUAAAAUCCCUUCCUAUUCAGAAAGCUAUAAUACCAACCUUUUAUUUUAAAAUCUUUUGUCUGAAAAAUAUUUUGAAUAAAUAAUUCUAAAUACAACUUUCAACAACGGAUCUCUUGGCUCUC
rnacentral:misc_RNA from 1 species